rnacentral:tRNA from 1 species
GCCCGGGUGGUGAAACCGGUAGACACAGGGGACUUAAAAUCCCUCGGCCGCGAGGCCAUGCGGGUUCGAGUCCCGCCCCGGGCACCA